GAUGAACGCUAGCGACAGGCCUAACACAUGCAAGUCGAGGGGCAGCAUAAAGGUAGCAAUACUUUGGUGGCGACCGGCGCACGGGUGAGUAACACGUAUGCAACCUACCUGUAAGAGGGGAAUAACCCGGAGAAAUUCGGACUAAUACCGCAUAAUACUGAUUAUCUGCAUGGAUUGAUCAGUUAAACAUUUAUGGCUUACAGAUGGGCAUGCGUAUGACUAGAUAGUUGGUAGGGUAACGGCCUACCAAGUCAACGAUCAUUAGGGGUUCUGAGAGGAAGGUCCCCCACACUGGUACUGAGACACGGACCAGACUCCUACGGGAGGCAGCAGUGAGGAAUAUUGGUCAAUGGGCGGAAGCCUGAACCAGCCAUGCCGCGUGCAGGAUGACGGCCCUACGGGUUGUAAACUGCUUUUCCCGGGGCGAAUAACCCCCUCGCGAGGGGGAUGCCGGUACCGGGGAACGUAAGGAGUCGGCGUAACUCCGUGCCGAGCAGCCGCGGUAAACUAGUCUACG
rnacentral:rRNA from 1 species